AUGCUCUUAUUAUACCACUAUUAUAAAAACACUAGUUCCCUUAAUCUUACCAAUUAUUACUACCUUAGCCAACCCCUGCAAAAAAGAUUGAUACCCAUACUACGUAAAAAUAUCUAUUGCAUGUGUCUUUAUUACUAGCCUCAUCCCUGUAACAAUAUACAUAUUCAUAGAUCAAGAAAUAAUUAUCUCAAACUGACAGUAACAAUUCAAACUCUUCAACUCCCACUAAGCUUCAAACUAGACUACUUUUCCACAAUAUUUAUCCCAGUGGCACUAUUUGUUACCUGAUCUAUUGUAGAGUUCUCAAUAUGAUAUAUAAACUCAGACCCUAAUACUAAUCAAUUUUUCAAAUAUUUACUCAUUUUCCUCACGAUAAUAUUAAUUCUAGUUACCACCAAUAAUCUCUUCCAACUUUUUAUUGGAUGAGAAGGUGUGGGAAUUGUGUCUUUUUUACUAAUUGGCUGAUGAUAUGGCCGAGCAGAUGCUAAUACAGCAGCCCUCCAAAUGGUCCUGUAUAAACGAUUGGCGAUAUUGGCUUUAUUUUAGCUAUAGCAUGAUUCCUCUUAUUUUCCAACACAUGAGAGCGUCAACAAAUAUUUAUUCUAAAUCUUACCCCCAAUUCCUUUCCACUAAUUACUGUUCUCCUGGCAGCAGCAGGAAAGUCAGCUCAAUUUGGCCUUCAUCCCUGACUUCCUUCCACUGUAGAAGGCCCAACCCCAGUUUCAGCCCUACUCCACUCUAGCACUAUAGUUGUACAGUUUUUCUACUUAUCUGCUUCUACCCUUUAAUAGAAAAUAAUCUAUGAAUCCAAACCUUUACAUUAUGUGUAGGGGCAUCACCACAUUAUUAACAGCAAUUUGUGCUCUAACACAAAAUGACAUCAAAAAAAAAAUCGUAGCAUUCUCCACCUCAAGCCAACUAGGCCUUAUAAUAGUCACAAUUGGUAUUAAUCACACCUAGCAUUUCUUUAUAUCUGCACCCAUGCCUUUUUAAAAGCUAUAUAUGUUCAGGAUCCAUCAUCCAUAAUCUCAGUGAUGAACAAGACAUCUGAAAAAUAGGAGGACUAUUCAAGACUCUACUCCUCACUUCCUCCUCCCUUAUCAUUGGCAGCCUCACACUUACAGGUAUGCCUUUCCUCACAGGCUUUUAUUCUAAAGACCUCAUUAUUGAAACUGCAAACACAUCAUACACCAACGCCUGAGCCCUUUCUAUUACUCUUAUCGCAACCUCCCUAACAGCUGUCUAUAGUACCCAAAUUAUUUUCUUCGCUCUGAUAGGACAACCUCGCUUCACAACUGAUUAUUAUUAACAGAAAUAACCCUUUCCUAAUUAACCCAAUUAAGCACCUAAUAAUCGGCAGUAUCUUCGCUGGAUUCCUCAUUACCAAUAAUAUUGUUCCCACUUCAUCCCCCUAAACAACUAUGCCACUUCGCCUAAAACUCACAGCCCUAGGUGUGACCACCUUAGGCCUCUUACUAGCAAUAGAACUAAAUUUUAUAACUAAUAACCUUAAGCUAAAGUAUCAAUUACAGACUUUUAAAUUCUCCAAUAUACUAGGUUUUUACUCAGCCACCAUCCACUGUACAGCUCCCCCAACUCAAGUCUAUUUACAAGCCAAAAUCUGGCCUCACUUCUACUAGACAUAAUUUGAUUAGGAAAGUCCAUACCAAAAACCAUUUCACAAACUCAUAUAAUCAGCCUCCAUUACCAUACCUGCCCCAAAAGGCCUAAUGAAACUCUAUUUCCUCUCCUUUUUUAUUUUACCUCUUCUAACUCUAAUCUUAAUUACCUAAUCAUCACCC
rnacentral:lncRNA from 1 species